UAGGGAAUCUUCCGCAAUGGGCGAAAGCCUGACGGAGCAACGCCGCGUGAGUGAUGAAGGUCUUCGGAUCGUAAAACUCUGUUAUUAGGGAAGAACAUAUGUGUAAGUAACUGUGCACAUCUUGACGGUACCUAAUCAGAAAGCCACGGCUAACUACGUGCC
rnacentral:rRNA from 1 species